UACGGAGGAUGCGAGCGUUAUCCGGAUUUAUUGGGUUUAAAGGGUGCGUAGGCGGCCGAGUAAGUCAGCUGUGAAAUUUUGCAGCUUAACUGUAACAGUGCCGUUGAUACUGCAUGGCUAGGAUUUGGUUGCUGUGGGUGGAAUGUGUGGUGUAGCGGUGAAAUGCUUAGAGAUCACACAGAAUAUCGAUUGCGAAGGCAGCUCACAAAGCCAAGAUUGACGCUGAGGCACGAAAGUGUGGGGAUCAAA
rnacentral:rRNA from 1 species